rnacentral:rRNA from 1 species
GUGUAACAACUCACCUGCCGAAACAACUAGCCCUGCAAAUGGAUGGCGCUCAAGCGUUCUCCCGAUACUUGACCGUCGGGGCAGUAAAUGCCCUUGCAGGUCUCGAAUCCCCGACGAGUAGGAGGGUCGUAGUGGUGAGCGUUGAAGUAACCGGCAUGAGCCGGCUUAGAGCCGCCGCUACUUCAGAUCUUGGUGGUAGUAGC